rnacentral:rRNA from 1 species
AUUGAACGCUGAGCGGGCAUGCCUUACACAUGCAAGUCGAAACGGCAGCACGGGGGCAACCCUGGUGGCGAGUGGCGAACGGGUGAGUAAUACAUCGGAACGUGUCCUGGAGUGGGGGAUAGCCCGGCGAAAGCCGGAUUAAUACCGCAUACGCUCUAUGGAGGAAAGCGGGGGAUCUUCGGACCUCGCGCUCAAGGGGCGGCCGAUGRCGRAUUAGCUAGUUGGUAGGGUAAAGGCCUACCAAGGCGACGAUCCGUAGCUGGUCUGAGAGAACGACCAGCCACACUGGGACUGAGACACGGCCCAGACUCCUACGGGAGGCAGCAGUGGGGAAUUUUGGACAAUGGGGGCAACCCUGAUCCAGCAAUGCCGCGUGUGUGAAGAAGGCCUUCGGGUUGUAAAGCACUUUUGUCCGGAAAGAAAUCCUCUGGGUUAAUACCUCGGGGGGAUGACGGUACCG